rnacentral:rRNA from 1 species
GAUGAACGCUGGCGGCGUGCUUAAUACAUGCAAGUCGAACGAAGCACCUUGGACAGAAUCCUUCGGGAGGAAGACCAUUGUGACUGAGUGGCGGACGGGUGAGUAACGCGUGGGUAACCUGCCUUGUACAGGGGGAUAACAGUUGGAAACGACUGCUAAUACCGCAUAAGCGCACAGUACCGCAUGGUACGGUGUGAAAAACUCCGGUGGUACAAGAUGGACCCGCGUCUGAUUAGCUAGUUGGUGAGGU